UGUGGGAGCGAGCCUGCUCGCGAUGACGGAGUGUCAGGCGACAUCGAUAUGUCUGACAAACCGCCAUCGCGAGCAGGCUCGCUCCCACA
rnacentral:misc_RNA from 1 species